UGGUGAAGAAGGAGAACUCAGACAAAAGUGUGAUCGAGCUGCAGCAGUUCGCCAAGAAGAACAAACCCAACCUGCACAUCCUGAACAAGCUGCAGGAGGAGAUGAUAAAACUGGCAGCACAGAGGGAGGAAACAAGGAAGAAGCCGAAGAUGACGAUAAUGCAGUCGGACCAGCCGGGGGGAGAGCCUCUGUGCACGGUGGACGUUUAAGUCACUGUCUUACACCGUCACUCGUGUAAAACGCGACCCACCACUUUGUUACGCUUCAACCGAAGUGGUGGGCGGCUAGAGACGGCCGGUCAGAACCGCUGCCGUCCCUUCAUUCACGUCUCGUCAAAUUAGGAAAAUCCAUCGGAGUGGGUCAGAACUAAUGCCUAACACACCGUAGAGCAAAUACCAUCUACCUCUGCAGAUGCACCCCCUCACUGUGGCAAAGGUCACGACGGGGACCGGCGGGGGGGGGGGGGGGGAAAA